AGAAUAAUAAUUAAUGCUUUGAAGCACCUUUUUUAGUCAUCUAAGAAUUUUUUUUUUUUUUCUGUAUGUAGUUCAUGCCUCUAUUUUGUACUUUAAACUGGCUGGAGUACCAAAGGGGUCUUCCUCUUUUAUGAGGGUAUCCUGGAGGUAUUUACCCUGGAGGUGUGCACCAUGGUCAAUGGAUAAGUACGUAUUCAUACCUGAGGAUUUAAUUCAAUUAGCAUAUCUCUUUGAGAAUACCUCCCAAGGACAAGAAAUGGCUAUAAUCAAGAUUCACUUUUAACUGGCAAAUCUAUCAAAUAAGCUACUAAUAACAGAAAUUUCUCCCUUUUUUUUUUUCUCCAGGUCGUAAAAUAGGUGAAAGAAAUUCAGGUGACUUUUUGCCCGAUGCUUUGUCUUCUGGUAACUCACAAGGAAGAAAAAAAUCUUCCCAUGAUCGGUUCUUUAACAAUGAACUUAGGAGUUUAGAAGAGGCUGGAGACAGAUUGAAAAAACACCAUCAUCCGAAUUUAAGAUCAGAAGAUCCCUCAGCAGGUAUGGUUAGAGAAAAAUGGUUACCUAGGAAUCAAGUGCUUGUAUUAAAAUUUAGGAUAAUCAGAUAACCUUUGUUUUGUUUGUAGCACAUGGUCUUAAUGGUAAUAGUAUAGCACUAAAGGCACUAAUUGCGAUCUAUGAGAUUAAUGAAUUCUGUCUUUAGAGAAUUUUGGCAAAGAUGUUGACAUUAAAUCAAGCUUUUUUUAUAACUUU